rnacentral:lncRNA from 1 species
GGUUUUUUCUUCUUGUGAGCACUGAUAGAUGAGGACCAUCACUUACAGUAAUUUAUAAAAGGAAGCAAGUAGGGUGUUUGUGUGGCAAAGUCUUCUGCAUUAUCAAGUUUUGAUAACUUCAUACACUGUAGCCAUAGUUUAACUCUUGAGUUAAAACUGUGAUUGGUUAUGAAAAUAGCAUUAAUCGUGGAAAGACCUGAGAUUCUGGUGCAUGACCCUGAGGAGAUCAGACGGGCAUCAAGCGAGCUAGGAGAUGAGAUAGCUGGGGAGAGUGUGGAGGAACUGGAAACUCGCACUGGCUGUUGGCAGCCCCAGUGAGGUCUAUAAAUGGGAAAGUACUAAAGAAGAUCCCAUGGAGAAAAAAAACAUCAGAAUAAACUUCAUUGCCCCUUGCUUGUUAUCAAAAGAAGACAUAAGGAGAGAUGAGGCCCCAACAGGACUUGAUAUUCAGAUAGUUACAACAUAAUAAAGGUUUUAAUGCAAGCCAUAAAGAGUUGUGGAGUUGACUACAGAGAAGGAG